AUUGACAUUAAUCUGAGAACACCUUGAUUUGGAUGACGUGGAUGUACAGAAGACUCUUUUCACGGAAGAAUCUGCCUUCUAUGAAUGUCCUUACGUUCAUGACUUACUUUUUCAAGAGUUUCUUCACUCAUGAACCAACAUAUAGUACAAGCACUAGAAGUCUCCUGAGAUGCCAAGUACCAUGAUUGUGGAUCUGUCUGUUGAUGGAUAGGAUGUCCAAUGAGUUCCUCAUCCUGAUUUUGGAUUUUUUAACAAGUAUAAAGGUAUUGAGUUGACCCCAGAUACAACCAUUUUCACUGUGGAAACGGCUGACAGCGCACAGUGAGACCUCUCUGCUGCCAUGGGAACCCAUCUGCUCUGGGAAUUCUUGUAUUUUCUCGCUGGAUAUGCCAUAGCAGGCCUCAUAAUAAAAUGUCUGAAAUACAGAAGACUGCAAAACGAAAGACCCAGGGAUCCUCCCGCCAGAGUCAGAAAGUGGGUAGUAUCACCGGCCAUUGAGAAAGUAGUAAGAGCAGUAGCAGUAGUAGUAGCAGUAGUAGUAUCACAAGUAUUAUACCACACAGUAGUAGCAGUAGUAGGCCGCUGUUUUUCAACACUAUCGUUGAGGAUGUGAAAGAAAUGAAGUGGUUAAUGAACAUGAAUUGUGCUAAUUUCUAAUAUGUUUCAAUGUCUGUCUGCUCACAUCUGCUUAUGAGUCACAAAGAGCGCGAUUUUUAUAGAUGGCAAGGAAAGAGGGACUGAUGAAGAAAGAAGUUCUUUGUGGCGAGUGACUAAACGUAGCUUGCAUCUCUUCUGGUUAUUUGCUUUCUGAUUAUUAACAAUAUGUAACUUUGAUUUCGCUGUAUUUUCAGAGCUAGGCAAAUUAGCAUCACAUUUUGAAAAGGGAUAUUUACAAGAACACUGACCUCAGACGUGGAUAUAAUUAUGACAUAAUUAUAAAUGUAACAUAUAGAUUUUUGAUCACUUUGAUCUGCAUCCAUGAUUGGUCAUUGUAAUAUUUAGUAUGUAAGGGGGUGUGCCCCCAGACUUUUA